rnacentral:lncRNA from 1 species
GGGAGAGAGAGAGGAGGGGAAUCAGGUGAGAAACCAAGCGGAAGAAAGUUGGGGGGAAAAAGUUUAAGAAGGAGACGAGGUUGCAGCGCGGAGGCAAGGAGCGAAAGCACCCCUUUCUUUCCCACCCACCCCCCAAAAAAGAACCCCUAGAUUCGAAACUGCAGGCGGCUCCUCACGGGUUCCGAGAGAAACCGGUUCAAGAUGCCCCAACGCUGGAACGUGUGAACGUGUUUGGCAGUGAGAGGCAGAUGGAGGCUACAGAGCUGCAUAUACUGUGCACCGAUGGACUGAAAGAAAACCCCCUCCGCCGUGUGAAAAAAAUAAAAGGUCUAGAAGCAGAAUUGUGAGGGAAAGGGGUGAUUUAAGAAUGAAUCUUCAUCGGUGAGGAUGGCUGUACGAGACAUGAGGACGUAUGCUCUUUAGAGAUGGGUUUAUGCCACCGGUCACUCACUGCCAAUGCCUUCCAAAAGAUGCUGUGGACAAGGACCAGUGACUGCCUGCUGU